GCGGGAUGACAAAUCUCCCGGACGGGUGUCUGCCCCGUCCUCCCAGACAGCGCUGCGUCCUCAUCUCGGCGGCGAGCCGGCCAGCGAGAGCGGUGUGAAGCACUUAGAGAAGAUGAUCAAAGGGCCAAAAGCCAGAGAAGCUUCACUGAAAUUCAACAUCUGAAAAAAUCAGGAGCCUUCAGUACCAGCAAUCUUCAUAUCUACCUGAAGAUCCUGCAGUACACGACUGGCAAGAAGAGAGCUGGUGAAGGGUCUAAAGCAAAAAUCGUACGAGGAGCAGCCGAGGGUGCUGGGGUUGUUUGGCCUGAAGAAAAGAAGGCUCAUGGAAGACCUUAUUGCUGUCUACAGCUACCUGAAAGGAGGUUGUAUCCAGGUUGAAUUCUUUGCUGUUUCCUGCAGCUUGGGAACACCUGUAGUGCACUGGAUUUGAAAAACUAAGUGACCAACCCACCACUGAAAGUCACUUCACCAGACAAAUAUCUCCCAGUGUGUACAUCCUUCCCUUCUUGUAAAGGUGAGACAACAAGCCAGUAGAAAGGAUUAUCAGCCCCAAAUUAUCCACAAAGUGGAUAAUUUUUUAUUUUUAUAAAUUAUUAAUUAAAAUUAUUUAUUCUUACAUUUACCACAAAGAAAGAAAAUUUUAGAUGGUUAUUUUCAACAUACAGCCUCUACCAAAAAAACUUACAUUAUUCAUUGUCU